GACGAACGCUGGCGGCGUGCUUAACACAUGCAAGUCGAACGGAAAGGCUCUGCUUUUGUGGGGUGCUCGAGUGGCGAACGGGUGAGUAAUACGUGAGUAACCUGCCCUUGACUUUGGGAUAACUUCAGGUAACUGGGGCUAAUACCGGAUAGGAGCUCCUGCUGCAUGGUGGGGGUUGGAAAGUUUCGGCGGUUGGGGAUGGACUCGCGUCUUAUCAGCUUGUUGGUGGGGAAGUGGCUUACCAAGGCUUGGACGGGUAGCCGGCCUGAGUGGGUGACCGGGCUAAUACGACCUGAGAUACGGCCCAGACUCCUACGGGAGGCAGGAGUGACGCAUAUAGCAAGAAAGGCGGAAGGCAGAUGCAGCAACGCCACGUGCAGGAUGACAGCAUUUAGGUUGUAACGCGCUUUAGCCUGUGACGAAGCGUGAGUAACGGUAAUGGGUAAAGAAGCACCGGCUAACUACGUG
rnacentral:rRNA from 1 species